GUACUGAUGAAGAGUCGCAAUCUAGGACGAAACAGCUGUCCAGUAC
rnacentral:hammerhead_ribozyme from 1 species